rnacentral:lncRNA from 1 species
UCCAAUAUUGUAACAGAAGAAGUAUCAGUUUAGAGGAGGGUAAUCCGCAACCUCUAAAAAAUGCUAGUAUACCUUCAAGUAGAGGGGUAAUCCACACUCUACUAAGAAAGAACUAGCUCUGAUAUCUCAAGUUAGUGUAGUCUCGACAAACUGUCACGGACACAAAAUAUAGACUUGAAAUCUAACAAGAAGUUCAAGAAGAAGUGGCAGAACUAGAUUAAACAGAUGAGUACAAGAACAACACCAGAAAGGUGAGCUAGAACUCCAAGAGAUGUG